UGUGGGUUCUUGAGAAGUUCUACAUUGCACCUUCAAUCUGAGAUGAUCUCAUCUGCCAUUUGGCAAAGAGAAGCAUCUCUCUUAGAAACUCUCGAGCUCUUGUGGACACUGGUAUUCAAAAGAAGAUUUGAUAUGGUAUGAAAGUGGUCUGAAAGGUGCUACCGUAGUGCACUAAUUAACAAGUCUACACAGUAUCAAAGCAUGAUUGGCCUAAGCAAGUUUAUCAGAUAAGAGAAGUCUUCAUAUUUACUAUUCCAACUUGUCACUGCCACUGCUGAAGACUUCUUUACUUUCACUGCAUUAUUCUACUGAAGAUGACAAGCUGGCAUGUCAUUUUCAUGAACUGCUUUCAAGAUCUUCUAAACAUGACAGUCUGCUGAAAUGCUGUCGCAGGUACAAUAUUAAUACCUCUUCCCAUUAAUGUCACAAACUGUGGAGGUACGUAGAGCAGUGAUGGGUCAGACUGUGGUGAUGAAGAUACUUCUCUUACACUUCAAUAAAGCGGAUUGCUUUGGCAAGGCUAUUGACAUAACUGGAUUCAUGGAAAGUAAAUUUCUGAAACAGCCAAAUAUGUUUAUUUGCAAAUGUGAUGUUAUCUCAAGAGAACAAAUAGAAAACAGUCUUGCUAGAAGAGACAACAUUCUGGGUAUCAAGAUGCAUCUAAAUUCAAGUGCUCCUUAUGAGACAAAUAAUAGUUCUCCAGCUUCCAAAGCCAGUUAUUCACUGAGGCUCACUACAACUGUCUGCCUCUGUUAAACGGAGGAAGCAGUUAAUUUUAUGACAAUCAAGCAGAUAGAUUUAGCUAGAAAUUCCUAUUUUGUUCUUUGGAUUGAAUAGUUUAUUUUGAAAAACUGUAUUACUUUAUUCCCUAUUUUCACAGGGUGGUUGUUAAUUAAUUUGUAGUAUGCUGUACUGCAAAUGACUUGAAAUGCAUACCUCCAUACAUGUAUCAUAGUUAUCCUUUUCUGUGAUAAUAAAAACA